UGUUCAUGGUAGGCAUCCUGCUGGAUCGA
rnacentral:piRNA from 1 species